AGAGCUAAACUAAAGGAAUGAGGGGCUAAAAGUGAGCAUGUGAUUAAUUCGUAAGAACGCGAGAAACUUACCUGGGUUUGAAUGUAGGAUGCUCUUCUGAAAAGUAGUGAGCGUCUUAGGGUGAAACGUGCAAGGUGUGAUGGUGUCGGUAGCUCGUGUGUGAAGUGUUGGUUAAGUCCCUCUAAGAGCGAAACCCUGUCGCUAGUUGCUAGGGGUAUGCUGGAGGACUCUAGCGAGACCUGCCGGCGUUAAGAGGAGGAAGGUGGGGACGACGUAAGUCAUCAUGCCUUUAUGUCCAGGGUGUCGAACGUGCUACAAUGGGUGGUUACAGAGCGAAUGCGUAGAGCUCGCGAGGUGGAKAGAAUCGCUAAUAAAGCCGUCUCUAGUUCGAGAUUGGAGUCUGAACUCGACUCCAUGAAGUGGAAUCGCUAGUAAUCGCGGGAUCUGCGUUGGCGCGGUGAAUGUGUCCUGAGCCUUGUACACACCGCCCGUAAGUCAUGGAAGCUGGGAKUACCCGAAGUCGUUUAGCUACCCGUAAGGGAGGCGGGKGCCKAGGUWGUUUKGUGAGUGGGACUAAGUCGUAACAAGGUAGUCGUAGGGGAACUGCGGCUGGAUCACCUCCUUUCUG
rnacentral:rRNA from 1 species